UCUCUACAUUUCCCUUCUUUGGUGCUGCAAUUAUGGCAGAUGAGGCAAACGCACUUUGAAAAUGACAUUGUGAAACAAAGUUGGUUUUCACUCAAAAUCUCACGUUACAUGGCCCCAUUCAUUCUUUCCUUUUGACGGAUCAGUCGUCCUGGUCCCCUUGCA